GUGAUUCUGAAUCUGAAGCGUCGAUUAAGAUUCAGCCAUAUGUUGGUAAAAGAAUGAAAAAGGACAGAGACAAGUGAUGUUUUGUUCUCAAAAGGAGAUGUGGUUUCCUCUACAAGUAAGUGCAUUAGAUGUAAUUCAUUCUAGAAAUAUUACAUUUUCUUACAUUCAUCUCUAAUAUUAUAUCUAUUUGAAUGUUUUGAGAAGAUAAGUAUGUUUUUGUAAAU